CCCACCCGGGCCUCCCAAAGUGCUGGGAUUAUAGGCAUGAGCCAUCGCGCCCGGCCUAAUUUUUAAAAAAAGUAUCAUCGAAUGGACAAGACAGGGUAUUAAAUUGAUAAAAUUAUCUCACUGUCAGAAAACGAGGGAGGGGAAAAAGAGGAGAAAAAAAGCAAAACAGAGCUCAUCUGGGUAACAGGAAGGUGUUGCUGAAAAUGUCAGACUCAAAUUUGGAUAACAGUAAGAAGAAUUUCUUUGAGGGGGAAGAUGAUGAAGAAAGUGU